rnacentral:rRNA from 1 species
AGAGUUUGAUCCUGGCUCAGGAUGAACGCUGGCGGCGUGCCUAACACAUGCAAGUCGAACGGAGUUUAUUUUAUAGAUUUUCUUCGGAAUUGAAGUAGUUUAAACUUAGUGGCGGACGGGUGAGUAACGCGUGGGUAACCUGCCUCAUACAGGGGAAUAACAACCGGAAACGGCUGCUAAAACCGCAUAAUAAAGAGAGAUCGCAUGAUCUAUCUUUUAAAUAUUUAUAGGUAUGAGAUGGGCCCGCGUCUGAUUAGCUAGUUGGUGAGAUAAAAGCUCACCAAGGCGACGAUCAGUAGCCGGCUUGAGAGAGUGACCGGCCACAUUGGGACUGAGACACGGCCCAAACUCCUACGGGAGGCAGCAGUGGGGAAUAUUGCACAAUGGGGGAAACCCUGAUGCAGCGACGCCGCGUGAGUGAAGAAGUAUUUCGGUAUGUAAAGCUCUAUCAGCAGGGAAGAAAAUGACGGUACCUGACUAAGAAGCCCCGGCUAACUACGUGCCAGCAGCCGCGGUAAUACGUAGGGGGCAAGCGUUAUCCGGAUUUACUGGGUGUAAAGGGAGCGUAGGUGGCAAAUCAAGUCAGAUGUGAAAGCCCGGGGCUCAACCCCGGGAUUGCAUUUGAAACUGGUAUGCUAGAGUGCAGGAGAGGUAAGUGGAAUUCCUAGUGUAGCGGUGAAAUGCGUAGAUAUUAGGAGGAACACCAGUGGCGAAGGCGGCUUACUGGACUGUAACUGACACUGAGGCUCGAAAGCGUGGGGAGCAAACAGGGAUUAGAUACCCUGGUAGUCCACGCCGUAAACGAUGGAAUACUAGGUGUC